GGACCAUCAUGUCGGUCGUGCCUCGGUACGUACUGGCAUUGUUGGUUUCUCCCUUCUGAUGAACCAUGAUGCCAUUAAUUUGGUGUCGUGGGGAAUCAGGACUGUUACUUUGAAAAAAUUAGAGUGUUUAAAGCAGGCUCACGCUUGAAUACAUUAGCAUGGAAUAAUGAAAUAGGACGUUUGAUCUUAUUUUGUUGGUUUCUAAGAUCGACGUA
rnacentral:rRNA from 1 species